ACUCUGAUUUACUCCUUGUGAUUAUUUGGGAAACAAAUCAGGAGAAAAGAAAACUGGUUUCCUUUCCUCUCCCCCUUACAUUUUUUAUGACCUAUCUUAAUUUGGCAGGUUCGAUACAGAGGAGGAGGCUAUAGCAAUCGCUAACGCAGCUGACGUUGGGUUAGCAGGUUAUUUUUACUCUCAAGACCCAGCCCAGAUCUGGAGAGUGGCAGAGCAGCUGGAAGUGGGCAUGGUUGGCGUCAACGAAGGAUUAAUUUCCUCCGUGGAGUGCCCUUUUGGUGGAGUGAAGCAGUCCGGCCUUGGGCGAGAGGGGUCCAAGUAUGGCAUUGAUGAGUAUCUGGAACUCAAGUAUGUGUGUUACGGGGGCUUGUAGGAUUCUUUGGUUCUUUAAAAAAAUUUAAAAGGAGACUUACCUACAUAUAUAGGUACAUGCCAUCCAUUAUUUUAAAUAAACUAAUAGGUUUUCAGA
rnacentral:sRNA from 1 species